GACGAACGCUGGCGGCGUGCCUAAUACAUGCAAGUAGAACGCACAGUUUAUACCGUAGCUUGCUACACCAUAGACUGUGAGUUGCGAACGGGUGAGUAACGCGUAGGUAACCUGCCUGGUAGCGGGGGAUAACUAUUGGAAACGAUAGCUAAUACCGCAUCAUAUUAAUUAUUGCAUGAUAAUUAAUUGAAAGGUGCAAUUGCACCACUACCAGAUGGACCUGCGUUGUAUUAGCUAGUAGGUGAGGUAACGGCUCACCUAGGCGACGAUACAUAGCCGACCUGAGAGGGUGAUCGGCCACACUGGGACUGGGACACGGCCCAGACUCCUUCGGGAGGCAGCAGUAGGGAAUCUUCGGCAAUGGACGAAAGUCUGGACGAGCAACGCCGCGUGAGUGAAGAAGGUUUUCGGAUCGUAAAGCUCUGUUGUAAGAGAAGAACGGGUGUGAGAGUGGAAAGUUCACACUGUGACGGUAUCUGACCAGAAAGGAACGGCUAACUACGUG
rnacentral:rRNA from 1 species